CUGUCUUCUCCUGGCUUGUGGCUGUGUCAUUUUGUUCUGUGAUGUGGUAGUGAUCGCUUGAAUCGCGAAGUUUCCAUCAUUUCAUUAGACCAUAAUGUCUUCAUCUAUGCCUGAGAUCGGUAGUAAAAUCAGUUUAAUAUCUAAAGCUGAUAUUAGAUACGAGGGGAAACUUUUUACAGUCGAUCCAAAUGAAUGUACAAUCGCUCUUUCUCAUGUGCGCUCGUUUGGUACAGAAGACAGGCAGGCGCAAUACCCAGUGCCUGCACAGAGUCAGGUGUAUGAAUAUAUUCUGUUCCGAGGAACAGACAUCAAGGACAUCAGUAUCAUCAAUACACAACAGCUUCCUGAUGAUCCGGCUAUCGUGAUGGGCAUGGGCCCAGGAGGGAUGUCCACCGGCAGUGGCAACUACCCAGGUCAGCCUGGCUUUAACCACACGAUGCCUUCGAUGCCGCCGCAGUACAGCGGCUACAGGGCCCCAGGGGUUGGUCGGACUGUAGGUCAUCAGCCGUUGUCAAGUGAGUUGCCAGACAGCCAUCUCCAGCACCCCCCUCCCCACCAGCCACCACCGACACAUCAGCCACCUCCUCAGGUUCAGGUCCAAGUGCCGGUCAUCCCUAUUGUAAAAGAGCCCAACAGCGAGCUGCUGUCUGGCUCUCGCUCGUCCACACCGUCUCUGUCUCGCAAGUCUCCCACCAACGACCAAGGUGUCCAAGUUUCACCCAAUAAGGACAAGAAGCCUAUUCAGCCCCCAAUACCUCGUGAUGGCCGUCAGAAUAGAAACGAUCGUUACCAAGACUCGUAUCAGAGGAGAGAUUACCGUGGACCAAGGGACAAUGAUUACAGGGACAGGAAUCAGAGGGAUGGAGAGUAUAGAGAUAGGAACCAGAGAGAUGGGGACUUUAGGGAUCGUGGUCAAAAUAAUGCACUCAAAGAAGACCACAGGAUGCAACGGCAAGGUUCACACGACCGCAGGGACCCGGACAACAGGAGAGAAUCCUUCCCAGGUCAGCAACAAGGUGGCAGGGGUCAGCAGAACCGAGGAGGCUGGGUGAACCGAGGUGGUCGAGGCGGUGGUCCUGGCAUGAGAGGUCGCGGUCGAGGCGGAGCACCAGGAAACUUCAACAGAGCCCCGGGCUCAGGGCAGGCGCAGCAGAACAAGAACAACACAGGCAAACAGAACACACUCAAGUUUGAAGAGGAGUAUGACUUUGACAAGGCCAACUCAGAGUUUGAAGAACUAAAAAAUAAAACAGCCAAGCUGAAAAUUUCUGAUGGAGAGGUAGAGAAGCCCAAGGUGAAUGGUGAAGACAAGAAGGACGACUCUGGCAAUGAGACUGGUCUGGGAGAGGGAGAGCCUGAGGAGGAGCCUGAACAGGAAGUCAUCUACUACGACAAGGCUAAGAGCUUCUUUGACAACAUCAGCUGUGAGGCAGUGGAGAGGAGCAAAGGACGAUCUCAGAGAACUGACUGGAGGACAGAGCGUAAACUUAACUCUGAAACAUUCGGAGUGGCUUUGGCACGACGAGGAGGCUACCGAGGCCGAGGCGGGUACUACGGUGGCCGUGGAGGUUACCGAGUGUACAACAACCGAGGCUACAACAACCAGCGAGGAGGUCGUAACCCUAUGAACAACACAGGCCAGCCCAGGCCUCUGCAUCAGCCACCCCAAGCUCCAGUGAAAUCAACACCCACUAGUAUUACCGUUGCAUCUUAAUUUACUUGACAUAAUUUUUACCGAAGAAGAUGGGAUUAGGCUGCAGUUAAAAACUGUGCAGCCAAAUAAACAUGAAGAAAGAUAUACUAUGAAUGUGAUGUGAUAGACUAUGGCUGGAUACAAUUUUACUACAAGUGACAAAGAGAUUAUUCCAGGAAAGGUUUUGUGUUUUGUGCUCGAUGAGACCUAGGAUGAGGCAGGGAGAAGACGGAAGUGGCGUGCUGGGUUGGAUCCGUUACGGAAGUGAAAGGAAAGGUUCUCAAAAGAGCAGUAACAUUUAUGUUAAGUAUUGUGGAUAAUUUAAGGCUGAAGGAAUGUGUAUUUUUCUUUUAAUUAUAAUGAUUUUAUAACUUUAAGCUCGUUUGGGUGCUGAAUGAUGGUUUACUUUUUUUAAACUUAAGUUAUUUAAAAUGUUAUAGUGAUUGUAGUUUAUUAUUGCUGAUGGUCUUUGAUUUUUAUUUCAAUCAUGCAAACAAAGUACAACCAUAUUUAUUUUUGUAUUUAUAAGAAAUAAAAUUUUAAUUUUAAACUUUA